AAUUGCUUCACAUUUCUGUGGAAAAGAAAAAACAAUUAAAGACAGUAUGACCUAUUGCUGUAGCUCCCUAACAGUUCAAUUCCCAAAGCAAUUACUUUUCCACAGAAAAUUUCUCCAGCGUUCACAGUCAUCUUUUGUUACCUGCACAUAAUCAGGAACUGCAGAGGGCAGGGCCAGCCUGCUGAAAGCAAGGAGGAACCACAACAGUGAAAGCGCAUGGUGGAGAAGACUCAAGAGAAGCCUCAUAAUGACGACGAGUAGAUCGUUGUCAAGAAACAGACCACCUAGGGGACAUGGGCCCAGGCCCUGCUCGCAACAUGGUAGACGCUGGUUCAGGGUGGCCGCCCACAACAGGGCUGCGGGGGCGAGGGGCGGCUUGCUCUGCGCGGCACCCCGGGCAGGUAGAGCUGGCUCAGGGCUGCCAUGGCGCCCUGACUCCGAGAGGGGGCUCUCUCUGCCACAUCCAUGGUGAAGUGUGAGGCUCGGGGCGGGGCGCGAAAUGGCGGCCGCUGUGUGGAGGCUGCGGCAACCUGCAGGCUGGGAGGUGGCACAGGGAAGGUGACGUGUGUCUUGGUGCUGGACAGAAACCUUUGUUCAUGUCUUCUGGUAGUCAUCAUCUUCUUUUGAGCUGCACCUACAACACAAAGAACAAGUGAACGAGCAACUUUACGCUUCUCCAGAACAGCUUAAAACAGUUCUAUAUAAGUUCUUUCAAACGAGAUCCCAACGGAUGUAAUUACUAAAUGAAAACUCUUCCGUCAGUGCCUUAGAAGGUUUCUGCUUGCACUUUAUACAUAGUCUACGAAAAAGAAGCUGUAUACUUUCACUUCACAUAAUUUUAAAUUAAUACAAAUUAUACACUCAGAGGAUAUCUGAUGUUUACUAGCUGUUAAGAGAAGAUGUAUGUGAGAAAAGAAUUUCAGGGAGAAAAGAGGAAAAAGCAAGAACAUUUUUCAGCUACUGAUGAAAAACGUCCAAGACUUCUCCUAAUAAAGGAUACUGUCUUUGGAAGAUCUACUUUCUAAAAUGGUACAAGUGGAUGCAGAUGACAACUACCACAAGUGCCACCUAUAUUCUCUUGGAUGCUAGACUUCUUGGUCUCAGAUCCUGGCAAGCAUUCCUUCAUUUCUUCCUUCCUUUUGACACCUUCUGUCAACAGUCUUCUGUGAAAACUAAUAGAUUUCAUCUGCCAUAAAGCAAGAUUAACUUGAGAAUUUCCAUGUUAAGAAGGAAUUUGUUGCCUUGACUUUAUUUCUCAGUAACAAGUAUUCAAGGGACUGCCAAGAUUUGCAAGCUGCUUCAGCACAUUUUGAGAAAAGCUACUGGAAUGGUGCAAGAAGUGGAACGAAAAUUGCAUCUCUUCAUCCAAAAAGAAGCCUCCACAUUAUUACAACACAUCAUGAGCAAAUUAAAAUACAUUACACAGGCUUUUUAAUUAACCUUACAUGAACCUCUGAAGAAAGUACACAUCUCUGAAGAAAGAACAGUGCAACACAGCAACGUUAAGAUAAAAGUUUUAUAUAUAAAGAAGUUUGCUACUGUGUGCCAUCACAGCUCUCAUUUGAACAGCAGGUGAAAUACCUCAUUUUUUGUUUACUCUGGCCAAAAAAUCCUACUAAUUGCACGUUUUCUUUCACUGAAAUAUUAAAAACUACUUUGCCUGCUUCAGCUGAUCAAAAUAUUAAAAACCGUUUAUCAACUCA